GGCAAGAUGGCCGAGCGGUCCAAGGCGUGUGACUCAAGCGAAAGGGGCCAAAACCCCAUCGUUUGCCUGAUAUUUCGGGUUUCUCAUCAGGGUAAUCCUGGCGUGGGUUCGAAUCCCACUCUUGUCA
rnacentral:tRNA from 1 species